rnacentral:rRNA from 1 species
GUAGGGAAUAUUGCGCAAUGGACGAAAGUCUGACGCAGCGACGCCGCGUGAGUGAUGAAGGCCUUAGGGUCGUAAAGCUCUGUUGAAUGGGAAGAAAAAAAUGACGGUACCAUUCGAGGAAGGACCGGCUAACUUCGUGCCAGCAGCCGCGGUAAUACGAGGGGUCCUAGCGUUGUUCGGAAUCAUUGGGCGUAAAGGGUGUGUAGGUGGCCAUGUAAGUCAGGUGUGAAAGCCCCGGGCUCAACCCGGGAAGUGCACUUGAUACUGCGUGGCUUGAGUACCGAAGAGGGUAGUGGAAUUCCAGGUGUAGUGGUAAAAUACGUAGAUAUCUGGAGGAACACCGGUGGCGAAGGCGGCUACCUGGUCGAGUACUGACACUGAGACACGAAAGCAUGGGGAUCAAACAGGAUUAGAAACCCGUGUAGUCC